CCGAACUUCUCCUCCCGAUCUCCUCUUCUUCCCCUCCUCUUCCUCUUCGUGGCUGAAACCGAUUACCUUCCUCGCCUCUGCCCAAUCCUCUUCCUCUCUUCUCUUCCGUCUCUGCCCAAGCGCCAGCAACGCGUGAGCCACCACCGGCCGAGCUGCCCUGCUGAAACCUUCCCUUUGCCUCUUCGUGUGAUUCUACCUUGCCGCCCUCUGGAUCUUCUUCUUCCUGAUCUCCGACGCCCUCUCCGACGACCUCUUCUUUCCUCUUUUCCGAUCAGUCACUUUUCUUUGCCGACACGCGAAGCAUCCCUCUGCCCUAGUUCCGGCUGAGUUCUCUUCGUCCUGAUCUGAGGCGCGAUAAUUGUUGCCCUAGCUCGAAUCUGCCGCCGUUGCUGCGAGGAUUGAGCCAACCCUCGCUGGAGCGACUGAGUUCCCAUUCCCUCUGCCCUAGCGCUGGCAGCCAACCUCACCCGUGCCCUAGCUGAGAUCUUAGAGGGUUUGAUGGAUCUAAAUUGUGGGGUUUUCUUGGUCACCGGCAGUUGCUCUUUCCUGGCAGCAACAAUCUCUUUGGUUGUGAAUCAAUAGAAGAGGGUCGUGAGAGGAAACACACUCCUUGACUGAGGAUCAACAGCGGUUGUGAAGUGAGUUUGAGGUCGUCAGGAGAUUCCAGUUGCUAGUCCCCUGGUCACGAGAGUUUACGUAUUAGUCUUGUGGUUUUCUAUUUGUUUCAGACUUAUAUUGGUUUUGCACUCUAAAUUUUGUGUGGUUUGUCUUUAAGUAUUGUGAUGGUUGUAUUUUUACUUGCUUAGUAGAUUUGUAAUUGUUAUGUUUCGCUACGCACCUGUCAAUCGACAGAAGAGGUAAGUUUAGAUGUUGUUUUCGAUUUCUUUUGUAUUGUG